UACGAAGGGGGCUAGCGUUGCUCGGAAUUACUGGGCGUAAAGGGAGCGUAGGCGGAUAGUUUAGUCAGAGGUGAAAGCCCAGGGCUCAACCCUGGAAUUGCCUUUAAGACUGCAUCGCUUGAACAUCGGAGAGGUAAGUGGAAUUCCGAGUGAUAGCGGUGAAAUGCGUUGAGAUCGGAAGGAACGCCCGUGGCGAAAGCGAAGAUCCUGGACGUUUUCUGACGCGUGAGACGGCGAAAGCUAGGGAGCAAACGGG
rnacentral:rRNA from 1 species